GACGAACGCUGGCGGCGUGCUUAACACAUGCAAGUCGAACGGGCCUUGUCCCCUUUUUUUUGGGGGUGGGGUUAGUGGCGAACGGGUGAGUAACACGUGAGUAACCUGCCCCUCACUUCUGGAUAACCGCUUGAAAGGGUGGCUAAUACGGGGUGUUCUGGCCUGCUCGCAUGGGUGGGUUUGGAAAGAUUCGACCGGUUUUGGUUGUUUUGGUGGGGGUUGGGCUCGCGGCCUAUCAGCUUGUUGGUGGGGUGAUGGCCUGCCAAGGCUUUGACGGGUAGCCGGCCUGAGAGGGUGGGCGGUCACACGGGGACUGAGACACGGCCCAGACUCCUACGGGAGGCAGCAGUGGGGAAUAUUGCACAAUGGGCGAAAGCCUGAUGCAGCGACGCCGCGUGAGGGAUGGAGGCCUUCGGGUUGUGAACCUCUUUCGCCAGUGAAGAAGGUCCUGCUCUUUGUGGUGGGGUUGACGGUAGCUGGGUUAAUGAAGCGCCGGCUAACUACGUG
rnacentral:rRNA from 1 species